rnacentral:misc_RNA from 1 species
GUGUCGAUGGACGCGAACGGAUCGCGCUCCAGGAUCUUCUUGUCCUGGUAGACACGAAGAAACUUCCCGACGUCGUCUCGCGAAAAGCCGAACGUGAGCUGCGUGAGAUCGUUGGUGCCGAACGAGAAGAACUGCGCUUCCUGGGCAAUCUGAUCGGCCGUCAUCGCGCCGCGCGGCACCUCGAUCAUCGUGCCGACGAGGUACUUGAUCUUCAUGCCUUCGGCCUUCAUCGUCUCCGCCGCCACGCGAUCGACGAUCGCUUUCUGGUCGCGGAGCUCCUUGACGUGCCCGACGAGGGGGAUCAUGAUCUCGGGGACGACCUUCAGGCCUUCCUUGUUCAGCCGGCACGCCGCCUCGAUGAUGGCGCGCGUCUGCAUUUCAGUGAUCU